UAUAUACUCUCUUCGUCCCAAAAUAAGUGUCUCAAACUUAGUACAAAUUUGUAUUAAAGUUAGUACAAACUUGAGACACUUAUUUUGGGACGGAGGGAGUAGUAU
rnacentral:pre_miRNA from 1 species